rnacentral:tRNA from 1 species
GUCAAGAUGUCCGAGUGGUUAAGGAGUUUGACUCGAAAUCAAAUGGUUUCGGCCGCGCAGGUUCGAGUCCUGUUCUUGACG